rnacentral:misc_RNA from 1 species
UUUAUACGGGCGAAGGCCUCCAGUCGAUCUACUACAAUACGGCUCAGACACCUUCUGUUC